CACAGCAGCUGUGUGUGUAUGUGUGUGUUUGUUUGUUCCCUCUGCACACUGGCCCUGACCAGGCAGAAGACACCUACACAGAUCUUGUUUCUACUGAUAUCUUUGCGUGUCUGCUCUGUGCCCUGGACUUACACCUUUAAGCCCCUGGAAUAGCAACUAUGUCGGUGGUUGUCCCUUCACUGGAAAACCCCAACUUUACCAUAAUUCACUCUGUUCCUUCAUGCAGAGAGAGACAGUUCAUCGGCUCCUGCAGCCCAAAAACAUUUUAGCAGCUUCACCAGAUGUCCUUGCAGUGACUGAAAAACUACGGUGGCUAUCAGCUCAUAGACCGUGAGUUGAGAAAAACAAAAUGGUGGAGCGUGUUGCUGAACCAACCGAGGAUGAAAUAAAAACUACUCGAAAACAAAACCUGAAAAAUACAACAACAAAAAAAGCAACAAAACAUGGAAUAAAGGUAUUUCAUGAAUCAACUUAUCAUCCUUGUUAAAAAAAAAAAAAGCGAGCGAGAGAGAACAUGGAUUCAAGAUUGUUACACCUUAGCGUGAAAUUUUUGCACUUGUCUGUCAUCAGCAAAAUAUUUGGACAUUGAAGAAACAGCUAAUAAAAACUCCUGCUUGCUGUCACAAAGACUUCCAGGAAUUAGGACGUGUACAUCCAAAAUGAGUUCUCAAGGGACAAGCACAAGGAAAAUAAAGAGGAGAAGUAAAAGAGUGGAGGAGAAGGAGGAGGAGGAGAAGACUAGAAGAGGAGGCAUGUCAAGAGAAGCGGCUACUGUGAGUGUUUCUCUGGCAGUGUCUUAGCUGGUUGUUGUGAGGAGUGAGAUCGAAGCAAUCAGCAAGUAUACUGCCGCAGAAACUCGUCACCAUGCGAAGCCUGUCCAGUUGCAUCGUCAACACAUUGACCUAGAGAAAGAAGGAACUCCCAUCUUAUCCCGUCACCCUCCAUUUCAGGACUCCUCUGCACUGCGAGGUUGUGAGAUACUGCAUUUCUUAAUAUUUGCACUUCAGUUUCUCAUUUCUUGUGUAUUUGCAGUGUUUCAAUCUGUAAUG